rnacentral:misc_RNA from 1 species
UUAUGAGAUCUUUAGAUAUAUUGACAGAUUUAAGGUGAACAGAAAUGCACAUGGGACUCCAAUUCAACUGAGUCAUUACACCUGGAGGCCCUGCAAGCUUCAAUGAUUGAAUCUCUCCUCAUGAUAGCUAAUAAUAAUAACCACCCUGAUGGUAGUUCAAAUAAAAGCCAGUAGGUAUUGCACAUGGAUUCCUCAACCAAUUCAAUAUAUCUAAAGAUCUCAUAAAAGCCUCAAACCAUCUUUCUUCUACACUCUCCAACUCCAACAUCACAUUGUGCACCAUUUUACUUCUAGGGGACAAAUGGAUAAAAAUACAUCGAAUCACAUCCCCAUUUGAGAUUCUAUAGGGUCAGAACUUUGCAUCUCUCAUCACAAUUACAUAUGAGAUAAUAAGUGCAAGAUAGGCUGGCAGCUGGCUAGUAGGACAUGAGCACAUUGAGGGUGGAUUUUGUUCUCUCCCCAUAAAGGUUGAUUGUAUAAUAAUAAAGCCUCUACAGUAAGGAACUCGUAAAAGAAUGAAAGAAAGUGUCUUACAUAUGUUAUACAUCAACAGCAUCAACUGGAAGGGAUGUUGUCCUGUGAAGUGAAUGUGGAAGCAAUGACCUACUGUAGAAACUCUUGGCAGUGACCAUGUCACUUGUUCUCGGGGAUUCCUUCAUCGCCACACAAUUUCGGGCCCUUCUGGUAUCCAAAUUGGGGCGGCUAUUAUUGACAUCUUUAUUCAAAUUGGGACCAUAAAGCUUCUCAUGACCUAAAGAUUUGAAGAGAUCUCCAUUGGUACUUCCUUGAAAUGAAUUCAUUACUGCAGAUGACAAAACCCCAUUACUUGGUUUGCAGUUUCUAUUGCUAGAAGUUGAAGAUUUUGAUACAAUUCCUAAUUGUUGAUCUCUAAGUUUUCCCAAUUCGAUAUGGUACUU